rnacentral:rRNA from 1 species
GAAAUUCCAAUCGAACCUGGAGAUAGCUGGUUCUCUCCGAAAUAGCUUUAGGGCUAGCCUCAAGUGAUGAUUAUUGGAGGUAGAGCACUGUUUGGACGAGGGGCCCCUCUCGGGUUACCGAAUUCAGACAAACUCCGAAUGCCAAUUAAUUUAACUUGGGAGUCAGAACAUGGGUGAUAAGGUCCGUGUUCGAAAGGGAAACAGCCCAGACCACCAGCUAAGGUCCCAAAAUAUAUGUUAAGUGGAAAAGGAUGUGGCGUUGCCCAGACAACUAGGAUGUUGGCUUAGAAGCAGCCAUCAUUUAAAGAGUGCGUAAUAGCUCACUAGUCGAGUGACACUGCGCCGAAAAUGUACCGGGGCUAAACAUAUUACCGAAGCUGUGGAUUGUCCUUUGGACAAUGGUAGGAGAGCGUUCUAAGGGCGUUGAAGCAUGAUCGUAAGGACAUGUGGAGCGCUUAGAAGUGAGAAUGCCGGUGUGAGUAGCGAAAGACGGGUGAGAAUCCCGUCCACCGAUUGACUAAGGUUUCCAGAGGAAGGCUCGUCCGCUCUGGGUUAGUCGGGUCCUAAGCUGAGGCCGACAGGCGUAGGCGAUGGAUAACAGGUUGAUAUUCCUGUACCACCUAUAAUCGUUUUAAUCGAUGGGGGGACGCAGUAGGAUAGGCGAAGCGUGCGAUUGGAUUGCACGUCUAAGCAGUAAGGCUGAGUAUUAGGCAAAUCCGGUACUCAUUAAGGCUGAGCUGUGAUGGGGAGAAGACAUUGUGUCUUCGAGUCGUUGAUUUCACACUGCCGAGAAAAGCCUCUAGAUAGAAAAUAGGUGCCCGUACCGCAAACCGACACAGGUAGUCAAGAUGAGAAUUCUAAGGUGAGCGAGCGAACUCUCGUUAAGGAACUCGGCAAAAUGACCCCGUAACUUCGGGAGAAGGGGUGCUCUUUAGGGUUAACGCCCAGAAGAGCCGCAGUGAAUAGGCCCAAGCGACUGUUUAUCAAAAACACAGGUCUCUGCUAAACCGUAAGGUGAUGUAUAGGGGCUGACGCCUGCCCGGUGCUGGAAGGUUAAGAGGAGUGGUUAGCUUCUGCGAAGCUACGAAUCGAAGCCCCAGUAAACGGCGGCCGUAACUAUAACGGUCCUAAGGUAGCGAAAUUCCUUGUCGGGUAAGUUCCGACCCGCACGAAAGGCGUAACGAUUUGGGCACUGUCUCAACGAGAGACUCGGUGAAAUCAUAGUACCUGUGAAGAUGCAGGUUACCCGCGACAGGACGGAAAGACCCCGUGGAGCUUUACUGUAGCCUGAUAUUGAAAUUCGGCACAGCUUGUACAGGAUAGGUAGGAGCCUUUGAAACGUGAGCGCUAGCUUACGUGGAGGCGCUGGUGGGAUACUACCCUAGCUGUGUUGGCUUUCUAACCCGCACCACUUAUCGUGGUGGGAGACAGUGUCAGGCGGGCAGUUUGACUGGGGCGGUCGCCUCCUAAAAGGUAACGGAGGCGCUCAAAGGUUCCCUCAGAAUGGUUGGAAAUCAUUCAUAGAGUGUAAAGGCAUAAGGGAGCUUGACUGCGAGACCUACAAGUCGAGCAGGGUCGAAAGACGGACUUAGUGAUCCGGUGGUUCCGCAUGGAAGGGCCAUCGCUCAACGGAUAAAAGCUACCCCGGGGAUAACAGGCUUAUCUCCCCCAAGAGUUCACAUCGACGGGGAGGUUUGGCACCUCGAUGUCGGCUCAUCGCAUCCUGGGGCUGUAGUCGGUCCCAAGGGUUGGGCUGUUCGCCCAUUAAAGCGGUACGCGAGCUGGGUUCAGAACGUCGUGAGACAGUUCGGUCCCUAUCCGUCGUGGGCGUAGGAAAUUUGAGAGGAGCUGUCCUUAGUACGAGAGGACCGGGAUGGACAUACCUCUGGUGUACCAGUUGUCGUGCCAACGGCAUAGCUGGGUAGCUAUGUGUGGACGGGAUAAGUGCUGAAAGCAUCUAAGCAUGAAGCCCCCCUCAAGAUGAGAUUUCCCAACUUCGGUUAUAAGAUCCCUCAAAGAUGA